rnacentral:rRNA from 1 species
GCGACCCCAGAUCAGGCGGGACUA